rnacentral:rRNA from 1 species
CGCGUAGGCGGCUAGAAAAGUCGGAUGUGAAAUUCCGGGGCUCAACCCCGGAGCUGCAUUUGAAACUCUCUAGCUAGAGUACAGUUAGGGUAAACGGAAUUCCACGUGUAGCGGUGAAAUGCGUAGAUAUGUGGAAGAACACCGGUGGUGAAGACGGUUUACUGGGCUGUAACUGACGCUGAGGCGCGAAAGCAUGGGGAGCAAACA